GGGGGCUGGGAAAGUUGAGGCCGCGCUGCCGCCGGGUCUCCGGCCUUGAGGGCUCGGGCUCGCAACGGCGGCGGCGGCGGCCGCAGGAAGAGGCAGCGGGGGGGGGGGGAGAGGAGGGCUUGGGCCCACGCUCCCCAGCCCCGGAGGAGCAGGCGGCGGCCGCGGACCGAGGGAUUCGCCGGGGCAGUCAGACAUCCCUGCCUUCCCCGCCUGGGAUCAUGACCCAGGCGGGGAUCGCCGUCGCCGCCGCCACCAGCGCGGCCGAGACCGCGCAGCCGGCGGCUUUCCUCUGCCAUGUCCUUCGGCAGUGAUGUUUCUGACUAGAAGAAGUCCAAAAGUAAUGGAUCCAGCCAACUAUGGACUGAAACUUUAGAGGAAAACAUAACCUAUAGACCAUCUUCUGGCAGAAGAUGAUAGAUUUGGAUCAGAAAGCGGGAGGUGUUGGAAGCCAGGAAUCAAAAGUGAAGAAAUUCUGCAAACCCUUGGGUGAAAAAGGUUCCUAUUACUGUAACCAUGCCAGAAAUGACAGAGAAUGAGACGCCUACAAAAAAGCAGCACAG
rnacentral:lncRNA from 1 species